UACCUUACCGAUCCGGGAAGGACGAGAACCUUCGACCAAGGUUCGACUCGAGCGAAAGCGAGAGAACGUUGCCAGAGGCAACGGCCCGAAGGGCGAGGAGCGCAAGCGACGAGUAAUCCUUCCCCCACCACCA
rnacentral:sRNA from 1 species